UAGGGAAUAUUGCACAAUGGAGGAAACUCUGAUGCAGCGACGCCGCGUGAGUGAUGAAGGCCUUCGGGUUGUAAAGCUCUGUUCUUAGGGAAUAAGAAAGUGAAUGUACUUAAGAAGAAAGGACCGGCUAACUUCGUGCCAGCAGCCGCGGUAAGACGAGGGGUCCUAGCGUUGCUCGGAAUCAUUGGGCGUAAAGGGGGCGUAGGUGGCUUUGCAAGUCGGGAGUGAAAUCCCCGGGCUUAACCCGGGACGUGCUUUCGAUACUGCUUAGCUUGAGUGUGCGAGAGGAUCGUGGAAUACCUGGUGUAGUGGUGAAAUACGUAGAUAUCAGGUGGAACACCGGUGGCGAAGGCGGCGAUCUGGCGCAACACUGACACUGAGGCCCGAAAGCGUGGGGAUCAAACAGG
rnacentral:rRNA from 1 species